CCUGUCAGGAGAUAGCAAAAACGAACAGAGCAAAACAUUUAGAUCUGCUUGGUUCCUUUUCUUCUACCUGGAGCCUGAAAAAGGCAGGGCAGGACAUACACAGUACCAGCUCCACACACGGCCCUCUGUAUCUGUUAUUUCAUUUUAGAAUAAGGAAAGGAACAUGGCUUAAAAAUAGGUACUUCAAGAAUAUUUAUGCCAGUAAUCAUUUUAUCAGAAUUUUUAAUUUUUUUCCUUUUCCUCAGUGAUCCUUGUUCUGACAGAAUUCUUUUUUGAGAGAACUGAGAAAAGGCUGACUUCCUUUUGGCAGAUAAAAGGAGGAGUUAUGAGGAAGAAUUGACCCUGGGGGCCCUGGAGAUAACCCUGCUGCUCAGCCUCAUGUAGAACUUCUACGAACCAGGGAGCUGGAAAUGAGUUAAGCAGGAUUAACAGAAAUCAUGACAGGCUCUCCAGGGGCUGAAAUGAAAACCACUGGAAUAUGACAGAACAUUAAUACACCCGGGAUUCUCUCAUACUCACUUUUCUGCUGUUGCUUGAUGCUGAACGAGAACGUGAACGUGACCUUGAUCUGGACUCUGAUGUUGAUCUGGAGCCCAUCUUGGGUCUACCACGAGGGUUGGCAUGAGUACGUGCCUGGGCUACAUCUCUCUGCUUGGAUCUGAGCGGUGAAUGAGACCGAGAACCUGAACUGUCAGGAGAGCGAGAUCUUGAUCUAGAACUGGAGGAGGAAGAUGAGGAGGACCGGCUAGAGGAUGAAUCAGCUGACUGUUUCAAUCUGUGGCUUGGGAGAAGGGUAUGAGAAGCUCUUCUGCCUUCCUUCUGUUCCAAAGAUGGCUGUUUCAGACAUUCUUCAGUGAUUCCUUUGGCCAGUGCUAAUUCCUCAAUUUUUAGAGGGAGGGGCUGAGCAGAUCUGUCUGACUCAGGUUCAAGAUCCUUCUGGGCUGAGUAGUCAGCCAGUGUGCUUUUCUGAACCAGAGGCAGGACACUCUCCUCUGGCACUUUCUCUGCUGGAGAUUCUGCUUUGGUGUCUGAAGGACUUGACAAAGGAGACAGGCCUCCUACCAACUGGACAGUAUGCUGAGAUACUAAUAGCUCCCUGGUGUCAGCAUCUGUAUUAGGAGGAGAUAACUGAAUGAGGACAGCGGGGGCUGGGCCUUCCAUGGGCUCUAUUUCUUCUUCGCUAUGGAGCUGUGGAUGAGGUGGUGGAGAAGAUGCUUCCUUUGUUAGUAAAGGUGGAGGAGUCUCCUCCUCGCUGGCAGUUUGCUCUGGCAGCGCUACAAGUGAGGCCUUCUUUCGAUCUUCAGUCAGUCGAGGAGGGGAAGGAGACUUCGAUUUUUCCUUUAAGCCUUGUGAAGAUUUUAUUUCUCUUUCUUCCUCCUCAAGGGGAGAUGUUGUUUUCAUUUCCUUCUCCUGCUGCUGUCUGGCCAGAUGACUUUUUCUAGCCUCUUCCUGGGAUCUUGUAAAUCUCCCUCCUCUCUCUAACACCUCCUGUUCCUGGGAUCUUGUUUUGGGUCUCUCAUCCAUCAUCUCCUCUGGUUUUACUCUAGGUAUCUCUUCCCCUUCUUCCUUAAACUCUUUCAGGAUUGGUGCCUCCCUAGAUUUUUGUCCCUCAUCAUCACCUUCCUCUUCUUCAUCAUCUUCUUCCUCCUCCUCCUCCUCCUCUUCUUCCUCCUCUGUUUUCAAAUUUCGAUCUGCUCUGACCCUUAGGUUUCUGGAAGGUGUUUCUUGAUCCUCUUCCUCCUCAGCAGGUUGGCUGCCCUCAGACAGUUUAGCUGCUCUUGCCUGAAAGAACAGAUACACAAUGGCUCCAAAUGUAUUUGCUCACAGUCAACAGAGGAGAGAAAGUAUCUAAUGAAGACACCCCUAGGAAGGAGAAAUUCAAUGAUAUAUACUUUCAGCAACAGAAACAGGAGUGACAGGAGACAAUCAUGACUAACGUAGCCCUUAGGGGAAUCAAAACAAAGUGACCAAAAGAAAUAUCACAAUGAAGCUACUUGUAUGUAGUUUAAAUUUUAGCUUCAAGCACCCCCUUUUUUUUUUUUUCAGUAAAAUAUUAGCAGAACAUCUGGAAAGUAAAAGGGUGGAUAGGGGGCUGAAAGGAACUAACCUACUAUCAAUUAAUACGAUUAUCUUUUUAUCAUUUUGGUAUAUUUCUUUUUGUUCUUUCCUCUAAUCAUUUCCUUUGUACAGUCAUAAUUACACUACACAUAACAUUUUUGUAUUCUGCCCACUUAGUGUUAUAUAACUUUAAAGCUUUGAUUGAAUGGUUAAUUAUGUCAUAUCUUGUCUAAUAAUGUGCUUUAAGAAUACAGAGCAGCCUGCUAAUUUUCAAAUUUAAACUUUUAAAAAAUAUUCACUUAGAAAUCUAAAAGGCAGAGCAGAUCUAAAUAAAAAGACAAAACGAACAACAAAAAGAUGACAAAGAGGAGAAGGAAGAUAACCACAAAGAAAUCUAGAGGCCAGGCAGUGGCUCAUGCCUGUAAUCCCAAUCCUUUGGGAGGCUGAGGUGGAAGGACUGCUUAAGCCUAGGAGGUCGAGGCUGUAGUAAGCUGUGAUUGUGCCACUGCACUCCAGCCUAGGCGACAGAGCCAGACUCUGUCCCAAAAAAGAAAAACAAAACCCCUAAAUGUAGAGACAUACAAACUCAAAACAAGUCUGAAGAAGAGAAGAUAUCCAAAGCAUUACUGAAGAGGUAAUGCUUUAGGAGGUAUCUGAGUUACCUGUCUGACCCUAGAUGAUCGUCUUUCUCCUUUCCUUGGUUUCUCAUCAUCAGAGUCACCUUUCUCUUCAGAAAUUGAGGAGCUUUUUCCUAUUGAAUGAAAAAGAAUCAAGUCAGAUUCAUGAAGUGAAGACUCAUUCAUGGCUUUUUAAAAAUCAGGCUUUCUAAUAUCCAACCAAUUAUAGCAUAUGAGCCUAUCAAGACAUAUCUGUAUCGGUUUCUUUGACUUCUACACUAAAGAAAAGACUACAAAAAGCCCUAACUAGGUCAGGGUCUUAUUGGUAAUUCUUGGUGUGCAAGUCUAGAAUAUUUUCAACACCUCGAAGCCAAUUCACAUGUUAUAAAUAACUCAAAUAAAUGUAAAAUAAUUUCCAGGGGCUUCAAACUGUCUAGCAGGGAUGUACAAAUAUGAAGUGUACUUAUUUCUACAAAGUGUUCUUACUCUGAAUAAAGUUUAAGACUUCAUUA